rnacentral:snRNA from 1 species
AUUCACGUCAUAGACGAGAACA